CUAACAAGGAUUCCCCCAGUAACGGCGAGCGAAGUGGGAAGAGCUCGAGCCUAAAAUCUCUGGCAGUUGAUGCCAGCGAAUUGUGGCCGGGAGAGGCAGCUGGACCCUGGCCGGUGCUGUCGAAGUUGACCUGGAAAGGCACGUCAGAGAGGGUGACAGCCCCGUGCGCGACACCACUGGAUAGGGCCGCUACUGUCUUCAGAGAGUCGGGUUGUUUGGGAAUGCAGCCCAAAGUGGGUGGUAAACUCCAUCUAAAGCUAAAUAUGGGCAUGAGACCGAUAGCGAACAAGUACCGUGAGGGAAAGGUGAAAAGUACUUUGAAAAGAGAGUCAAAAAGACCGCGAAACCGUUAGGAGGGAAACGAAUGCAGCCAAAGUGGCUCUCAUUCAGGCUCAGGAGUUGUCGGUGCGCAGUGCCAGGCUGUUGGACACCGAAGGGUGCGGCAGUCAGGAUACAGCAUGCCGAGCACUCUGCAUUCCUGAUGAGAGUCGGCCAACAGCAGUUACCCCUGACUCGAAAGGGCUGUCGGGAAGGUAGCUUCUUGGUUUACCAGGAAGAACUUAUAGCCAUCGGCCUGGCAGUUGGGGGUGACUGAGGAGUGCUGUGACUUUUCACACCAGCAGUGCAGGCUCCCUAGGGGCCGGGUCGCUUCUGUCCGUGUGGGCAAUGCUUCCGGGACUGCAUGCAGUGUCGGAAGACAUGUGUGUGC
rnacentral:rRNA from 1 species